ensembl:lncRNA
ACAGUAAGAUCAGAGCUUCAGGACCUAAGUAGUGCCUGGGGAUCUGAAAGAGACGACUGACUGAGGUGGUUGAUGGGAUUCUUACAGGUACAUAUUUAUGACCAGAAAUAUCCCUUGGGAGAUGUAAGAUGUUGAUGUGAAAAUAAUGGCUUUGCCAGUAGAAGGCUUUCACCCAGUCAUCUCCUCUGCCACUUUCUUCUCGCUGAAACUCGAAGUGGAGUGUGGCACCUGAACUGUAGGUGUACCAGAUACUCCAGAUGGCGAAAAGGUACAGCUGAUGUGGGAGGUGUUUUUGAGCCAGCCCCUCUUCAGCCACAUAGACUAGUAGUCCCUAGGGGGACUCUUGCUGAGGACACUUAGUGAUGAGACAUUGCUUGUUCAGGCUCAUACUCCCUUCUGGGAGAAACGCUAUACCAGGCUUCCAACUCCAUCUCAUCUCACACACGGAGGCUUCACCAUCCUGGCAACUUUACUGUGCUACCUUUGACCACAAAACAGAGGAACAGUGACAACGUGAGAUUCAAGACUCUGUGAGCUGGACAGCAGAUGGAGGCACACUGGGACGUAAUCCUGGCAGUUAAGAGACGUGUGAAUGGGCUGAUGGGGAAUGAUCUUUUUGUGAAGUUGUUGUUGGCAACACCUUGUGGCAGAAGAAACAGCUAAGUGAUGGUCCCCACAGCUGCCAUUCUCCAGUCUUGAAGUUGGUGGAUGACCUCCCUGUGACCGACCCCCUGUGGGCUAACAAUGUGGAAAACAGUAAUGGUCAAGAAACCCUCCCUGUCCUUUUGUGUUCCAGGCAGAGAGCCACCCAUCCCCAUGUGACUAAGAGAAGACUCAUGGAUGAGCUCCUUAAGAACCUAUGACAAAGCCAGACACAACCCCUCCUAGGGUCUGAAUGUUUGUGUCCUUCCAAAUUCGUAUGUUGAAAUCCUAAGCCCCGAGGUGAUGGUAUCAGGAAGUGGGUCCUUUGGGAGGUGGUUAGGUCAUAAGACUGGAGCUCUUAUGUAUGGAAUUAGAGAUCUGACAUUUUUAAAAGGCCCCCGAGAGUGGCUUUGCUCCUUAAGCCAUGUGAGGAUACAGCAAGAAGGUGCUGUCCAUGAGAAAGCUGGCCCUCACCAGACACCAAUCCUACAGAUGCCUUGAUCUUGGACUUCACAGCCUCCAGCACUAUGAGCAAUAAGUUUUUGUUGUUCUAAGCCACCUAGUCUAUGAUAUUAUCUUAUGGCAGCUUGAACAGACUAAGCCAACCCUCCAAAUUUUCAUUCUUUGGUUCUCACUGACUAAUCUGAACAAAUUGCUCAUCAACAUAACUUGUUAAAACUUAAUGAGGCUUCUCUCCUUCCCCCAGGCCAUUGAACUUUGUCUUGCCCCUGAGCUUAACCAAGCACUAAAACACAGAACAUCUCUCCUCAGUGAUCCUUCCCCGUUCAAAUUGUCUGUUCACACCACCUGCUCAUCCCACUCCCACACAGCCACUCCUCUCUAGGAUUCUCUAUGCCUCCGUAUAAAAAGAGAAACCCUUGGCCAGGCACAGUGGCUCACGCUUGUAAUCCCAACACUUUGGGAGGCCCAGGUGGGUGGAUCACCUGAGGUCAAGAGUUCGAGAGCAGCCUGGCCAACAAGGCGAAACCCUGUCUCUACUAAAAAUACAAAAAAAAAAAAAAA